UACGUAGGGGGCGAGCGUUGUCCGGAUUUAUUGGGCGUAAAGCGUGCGCAGGCGGCUUCUCAAGUCAGGGGUGAAAGCCCAGAGCUCAACUCUGGAAUUGCCUUUGAGACUGAGUGGCUUGAGUACGAGAGAGGUGAGUGGAAUUCCCAGUGUAGAGGUGAAAUUCGUAGAUAUUGGGAAGAACACCGGUGGCGAAGGCGGCUCACUGGCUCGUAACUGACGCUCAUGCACGACAGCGUGGGGAUCAAACAGG
rnacentral:rRNA from 1 species